CGUAGGGUGCAGGCGUUAAUCGGAAUUACUGGGCGUAAAGCGUGCGCAGGCGGCUCCUUAAGUCAGAUGUGAAAGCCCCGGGCUUAACCUGGGAACUGCGUUUGAAACUGGGGAGCUGGAGUGUAGAAGAGGGGGUGGAAUUCCAGGUGUAGCAGUGAAAUGCGUAGAGAUCUGGAGGAACACCGAUGGCGAAGGCAGCCCCCUGGGCUAACACUGACGCUCAUGCACGAAAGCGUGGGGAGCAAACAGGAUUAGAUACCCUGGUAGUCCACGCCCUAAACGAUGUCAACUGGUUGUCGGGGAAGUAAUUCCUUGGUAACGAAGCUAACGCGUGAAGUUGACCGCCUGGGGAGUACGGCCGCAAGGCUA
rnacentral:rRNA from 1 species